GAUGAACGCUAGCGGCAGGCUUAACACAUGCAAGUCGAGGGGUAACAGGGAGAAGCUUGCUUUUCUGCUGACGACCGGCGAACGGGUGCGUAACGCGUAUAGAAUCUGCCUUGUACAGGAGGAUAGCCUUUAGAAAUGAAGAUUAAUACUCCAUAGUGUAGGGAAGUGGCAUCACUAUCUUACUAAAGAUUUAUUGGUACAAGAUGACUAUGCGUCCUAUUAGCUAGAUGGUAAGGUAACGGCUUACCAUGGCUACGAUAGGUAGGGGGUCUGAGAGGACUAUCCCCCACACUGGUACUGAGACACGGACCAGACUCCUACGGGAGGCAGCAGUGAGGAAUAUUGGUCAAUGGAGGCAACUCUGAACCAGCCAUGCCGCGUGCAGGAAGACUGCCCUAUGGGUUGUAAACUGCUUUUAUACGGGAAGAAACAACUCUACGUGUAGAGUCUUGACGGUACCGUAAGAAUAAGCACCGGCUAACUCCGUGCCAGCCGCCGCCGUAACAC
rnacentral:rRNA from 1 species